AACGCAAGUUGCGCUCCCAUUUGCGUGGGAGCAUGCCUCUUUGAGUGUCGGUUUCCCAUACCCUCCAGAGCUUUUCGAAGCUGUGGGAGAGUGAGCGUUCGGUGCGUUCGACGCGCCGUCGCUUGAAGACACGGGACGUGUCCUCUAAGGCUCGCACAACGACGCCAUACCAAACACACACAACGUGGGUAGGUCUCGCUUCGGCGACACACGACACGCUGUGGGUGGGCGUCCGCGCGAAUCUUAUUACGGACCGCGUGUGCCGGCCUCGGUCUCCACGACCGAGCCCUGAGCCGGCCGCUGUAGCGAAACCUCAAAUUUUCGACCUCAAAUGAGGCAAGAAGACCCGCCGAAUUUAA
rnacentral:misc_RNA from 1 species